CUUAUCUUCAUCAGAUCAGCACCUCCAAGUCUGAGGUCAUGGUCCUCAGCUGGAAAAGGGUAGAGUGCCCACUCUGGGUCAGGGGGGGAAGUCCUGCCUCAGGUGGAG